GGCUGGUUUUCCAGGCAAAUCCGGAAAAUCAAGGCUGAGGCGUGAUGACGAGGCACUACGGUGCUGAAGCAACAAAUGCCCUGCUUCCAGGAAAAGCCUCUAAGCAUCAGGUAACAUCAAAUCGUACCCCAAACCGACACAGGUGGUCAGGUAGAGAAUACCAAGGCGCUUGAGAGAACUCGGGUGAAGGAACUAGGCAAAAUGGUGCCGUAACUUCGGGAGAAGGCACGCUGAUAUGUAGGUGAAGUCCCUUGCGGAUGGAGCUGAAAUCAGUCGAAGAUACCAGCUGGCUGCAACUGUUUAUUAAAAACACAGCACUGUGCAAACACGAAAGUGGACGUAUACGGUGUGACGCCUGCCCGGUGCCGGAAGGUUAAUUGAUGGGGUCAGCGCAAGCGAAGCUCUUGAUCGAAGCCCCGGUAAACGGCGGCCGUAACUAUAACGGUCCUAAGGUAGCGAAAUUCCUUGUCGGGUAAGUUCCGACCUGCACGAAUGGCGUAAUGAUGGCCAGGCUGUCUCCACCCGAGACUCAGUGAAAUUGAACUCGCUGUGAAGAUGCAGUGUACCCGCGGCAAGACGGAAAGACCCCGUGAACCUUUACUAUAGCUUGACACUGAACAUUGAGCCUUGAUGUGUAGGAUAGGUGGGAGGCUUUGAAGUGUGGACGCCAGUCUGCAUGGAGCCGGCCUUGAAAUACCACCCUUUAAUGUUUGAUGUUCUAACGUGGACCCGUGAUCCGGGUUGCGGACAGUGUCUGGUGGGUAGUUUGACUGGGGCGGUCUCCUCCUAAAGAGUAACGGAGGAGCACGAAGGUUGGCUAAUCCUGGUCGGACAUCAGGAGGUUAGUGCAAUGGCAUAAGCCAGCUUGACUGCGAGCGUGACGGCGCGAGCAGGUGCGAAAGCAGGUCAUAGUGAUCCGGUGGUUCUGAAUGGAAGGGCCAUCGCUCAACGGAUAAAAGGUACUCCGGGGAUAACAGGCUGAUACCGCCCAAGAGUUCAUAUCGACGGCGGUGUUUGGCACCUCGAUGUCGGCUCAUCACAUCCUGGGGCUGAAGUAGGUCCCAAGGGUAUGGCUGUUCGCCAUUUAAAGUGGUACGCGAGCUGGGUUUAGAACGUCGUGAGACAGUUCGGUCCCUAUCUGCCGUGGGCGCUGGAGAACUGAGGGGGGCUGCUCCUAGUACGAGAGGACCGGAGUGGACGCAUCACUGGUGUUCGGGUUGUCAUGCCAAUGGCACUGCCCGGUAGCUAAAUGCGGAAGAGAUAAGUGCUGAAAGCAUCUAAGCACGAAACUUGCCCCGAGAUGAGUUCUCCCUGACCCUUUAAGGGUCCUGAAGGAACGUUGAAGACGACGACGUUGAUAGGCCGGGUGUGUAAGCGCAGCGAUGCGUUGAGCUAACCGGUACUAAUGAACCGUGAGGCUUAACCUU
rnacentral:rRNA from 1 species